rnacentral:rRNA from 1 species
UAGGGAAUCUUCCACAAUGGACGAAAGUACUGAUGGAGCAACGCCGCGUGAGUGAAGAAGGUUUCGGAUCGUAAAGCUCUGUUGUUGGUGAAGAAGGAUAGAGGCAGUAACUGGUCUUUAUUUGACGGUAAUCAACCAGAAAGUCACGGCUAACUACGUGCCAC